UGUGGUAUAUAUACAUAUGUAUAUACAUGUAUGUAUAUAUGUGUGUACACACACACACACACACACACACACACACAAACACACACACAC
rnacentral:miRNA from 1 species